rnacentral:rRNA from 1 species
GCGAACGCUGGCGGCAGGCCUCACACCUGCCAGUCGAACGCACCUUUCGGGGUUAGUGGCGGACGGGUGAGUAACACGUGGGAACGUGCCUUUAGGUUCGGAAUAACUCAGGGAAACUUGUGCUAAUACCGAAUGUGCCCUUCGGGGGAAAGAUUUAUCGCCUUUAGAGCGGCCCGCGUCUGAUUAGCUAGUUGGUUGAGGUAAUGGCUCACCAAGGCGACGAUCAGUAGCUGGUCUGAGAGGAUGAUCAGCCACAUUGGGACUGAGACACGGCCCAAACUCCUACGGGAGGAAGCAGUGGGGAAUCUUGCGCAAUGGGCGAAAGCCUGACGCAGCCAUGCCGCGUGAAUGAUGAAGGUCUUAGGAUUGUAAAAUUCUUUCACCGGGGACGAUAAUGACGGUACCCGGAGAAGAAGCCCCGGCUAACUUCGUG